rnacentral:tRNA from 1 species
GGGAGUAUAGCUCGGUGGUAGAGCGUAUGCUUAGCAUGCACAAGGUCCUGGGCUCAGUCCCCAGUCCUUCCA